CCUACGGGGGGCAGCAGUGGGGAAUAUUGGACAAUGGGCGCAAGCCUGAUCCAGCAAUGCCGCGUGUGUGAAGAAGGCCUGCGGGUUGUAAAGCACUUUGAGUGGGGAAGAAGGCCUGGGGGUUAAUAGCUUCUGGGAUUGACGUUACCCACAGAACAAGCACCGGCUAACUCCGUGCCAGCAGCCGCGGUAAUACGGAGGGUGCUAGCGUUACUCGGAAUGACUGGGGGUGAAUCGAGCGUAGGCGGUUGAACGCCCUGGGCUUAACCUGGGAACUGCAUUGGAUACUGUUUGACUGGAGUGUGGUAGAGGGGUGUGGAAUUUCCGGUGUAGCAGUGAAAUGCGUAGAGAUCGGAAGGAACACCAGUGGCGAAGGCGGCACCCUGGACCGACACUGACGCUGAGGUGCGAAAGCGUGGGGAGCAAACAGGAUUAGAUACCCCUGUAGUC
rnacentral:rRNA from 1 species